CGGGAAACAACAACAAAUGAUUACUAAGGAUAAAUAGAAGUUUUUUAUUUGUUGGUUUGCAGAGAAAUUUUUUGUCUAAAGCCUUCAACAAUAAAGGAUUUAUUAUAAAUAAAUGAAACACACUUGCAGGAGGAAUUGGGCUUUUUAGCAAUCUGUCUUUGUCUGUUUCCUUUCUACCAUAACUGUUUAUUAAAGAAGAACAAGAAAAAAAAACAACCAAUCAAAUCAAAUCGGAGAAAAACAAAAGGUUUUUUUUUGAAACUGACGUUGGCUAAAAAGCCCAAUAGGGAUAUUUUUUGGUAUUCAGUAGAUUUCCAGGGAAAUUUUAAUGAAGUGCGUUCAGAUAUGUAUUAGAAGUAGGUAGUGCAUUCAGAGACAGGGCCUUAGCCCAUGACGCCAACCAGCCCUGUGUGCAUGUAUAAUUUUGUUCAGUUUGUAAUAAAUACCACUCUGUGGUGUGCUCAUUUUUUCCAA